GACGAACGCUGGCGGCGUGCUUAACACAUGCAAGUCGAACGGAAAUGCCCUGCUUUUUUGGGGUGCUCGAGUGGCGAACGGGUGAGUAACACGUGAGUAACCUGCCCUUGACUUUGGUAUAACUUCAGGAAACUGGGGCUACUACCGUAUAGGAUCUCCUGCUGCAUGGUGGGGGUUGGAACGUUUCGGCGGUUGGGGAUGGACUCGCGGCUUAUCAGCUUGUUGGUGGGGUAGUGGCUUACCCAGGCUUUGCCGGGUAGCCGGCCUGGGAGGGUGACCGGCGACAUGGGGACUGAGAGACGGCGCAGAGUGCUACGGGAGGCAGCAGGGGGGAAUAUGGAACAAUGGGAGGAAGCCUGAGGCAGAAACGCUGCGUGUGGGAUGACGGCCUUCGGGUUGUAAACAGCUUUCGCCUGUGACGAAGCGGGAGUGACGGUAAUGGGUAAAGAAGCACCGGCUAACUACGUG
rnacentral:rRNA from 1 species